AACGAGAACAACCUUACCAGGACUUGACAUCCAACUAACGAAGUAGAGAUACAUUAGGUGCCCUUCGGGGAAAGUUGAGACAGGUGGUGCAUGGUUGUCGUCAGCUCGUGUCGUGAGAUGUUGGGUUAAGUCCCGCAACGAGCGCAACCCCUAUUGUUAGUUGCUACGCAAGAGCACUCUAGCGAGACUGCCGUUGACAAAACGGAGGAAGGCGGGGAGGACGUCAAAUCAUCAUGCCCCUUAUGUCUUGGGCUACACACGUAAUACAAUGGUGGUAAACAAAGGGAAGCAAAGCCGGGAGGUGGAGCAAAUCCCCAAAAGCCAUCUCAGUUCGGAUUGCAGGCUGCAACUCGCCUGCAUGAAGUCUGGAAUCGCUAGUAAUCGCGAUCAGCAUA
rnacentral:rRNA from 1 species